rnacentral:misc_RNA from 1 species
CUGUUAGAAACGUAUUACAUUUCUAAUUUGAAUUUACGUCUUUACCGCCUUUUCUAACGUGCUUUUACGCGACGUCCAAACAUUGACGUCGACGUCAUCAUUUUCUGUUGUUAUUGUUUUGAACGUCGCUUCCGUUAGCGCAAACAUAUAUUUCAAUUCAGGAACUUGAUGUAAAACUUGGUAAAGAUCAAAAAUCGAGAAUCGCUACGCUACGCUACGCUAGAGAAUAAAAUUGUAAAGUGAAUCAGCGCAUACUCGUUUUUUACUGUGGUAUCCAAGUUCCCGAACAAUUCUCGAUUUACGGUGUAUGUUGUGUAAACGAAGAAGAUGGCUACCGGAAAUGAAUCCAUUCCGACGCACGAGGGAUUUGACAGCGCAAAACGUGCGCGCACAGCCCAGUUGUCACAGAUGACGAAAUUAUACAAUGAAAUAGAACGACACAUGAUCUCGCACGACAAUGAAGAAACUGUCAAAACUUUAUACAGCAAAAUAUGUGAGCGAUUUGAACAAUUUAAAGCUGCUCAUUUACGAUGUUUGGAUGUGUGCUCAGACUCUGAAGUUGUAUCUAAAUUAGAAAUGAACUAUGAAAGCUGUUGUAAGAACUUUGUUGAAUUCCGGGAAAGAUUUUCACAGUGGAUUUCUUCUGAGAAAACGCCUGAUGAUAAUAAUGACGCCUGUUCUUCAGUCAGCCAUGUUAGUUCAUCUUCAACAGUGUCCUCGCGCUCCAGAUUAAGAAGCGCGAAAGCUAAACGUUUAAUUGCGGAACAUAAAAUUAAAACGUUAAAUAAAAAGCAAGAAUUAGAGCGCGCACGCGUAGAACUGCAAAUGAAACAACAAUUACUAGAUCAACAGUCUGAACUUGAAGAAGCGCAAUUAGAAGAAUCAGUAUGGCAACAAGCUGUACAGGAAGAGAAUGGAGUGAACUUAGAAGUCCAGUCUCAGACAACAGUACAACAUUCUACUUCCGGUGAAACAACUUCCGUUACUGGAAAUGUGACAGGUACAGUCAGUGAUUGUAUUCUUCUGCCUAAAACCCAUACGACAGCAAGUACGUCUUCUACCGGAAGGAAUAUAAAUUAUAAUGAUAUGUGUAGCAGUGCACGUGAUCACGGGCAUAACCAAGAUGAGGCUAAGAGUGCGCAUUCUAUAAACAAUAUGAACUCCGAGGUUAGUGUUUCUACAAUAGACAUAGCGUUCCAGAAACUUGCAUCUACACUUCAGGAAGGGUUCAAUCUUCCGAAACCGGAAUUACUCACAUUUACCGGCAAGCCAACUGAAUAUUGUAAGUUCGUCAAAAACUUCGAAACUAAUAUCGAAAGUAAAGUUACCGAUGACAGACUUAGGUUGAGCUAUUUAAUACAGUACUGUUACGGUGAAGCAAAGUGUUGUAUUGAAGAUUGUGUUUUGUUGGAACCCAGUGAAGGAUACAGGCGCGCACGUGACAUCUUGUUCUCACGUUAUGGAAGGCCGCACGUGAUCGCUAGAACAUAUAUUGAAAAGUUGGUAUACGGUCCACAGAUAGCAGCAUCUGAUACAGACGGACUAUCAAAAUUAGCAUUAGAAAUGCAAAGGUGUGAAAUAACUUUAUCGCAACUAGGAUAUAAUUCGGAUGUAGAUAAUUCUGAAAACUUGAGGCGAAUUGUGAAACGGUUGCCUAUGCUUCUGAGAGUGAAAUGGGUUGAUAUAGCACAUGUAAUUAACGAAUCUGGCAGGGAAGUACAUUUUACCGACUUAGUGAAAUUCGUUGAUGAGAAAUCACGUGUUUCCAGUUCAAUGUAUGGAAUCGAUCUCAUUAAAGAAAAUCGAACAGCGAAGUCAACUUCCGGUAAACCGCACGGUACAAAGCCUGUAAAAGAUGUAACUACAUUGACCACACACAGUAAUACUGAUCAAAGAAGAAAUGAAAGAAAGUGCCGUUGUUGCCAUGGUAACUGCCUGGAUGUAUCUGUAUGUAGCAAAUUUAAAUCGAUGAGUCUAAAUGAGAGAAAAGAACUGGUGCGAAAAUUCAAGUUGUGUUACAACUGUUUGAAAGGCAACCAUUCAUCUAGCAACUGCAGAAAACCAAAGUCAUGUACAGUACCCGGUUGCGAAGUGAAACAUAACAUGUUGUUACAUAGUUGGAGUAGACCCAAUCCUGAAUCUUCGGCGACACAAGGUGUGACUUGUGCAUCUGUGAAGAACUCAAAUUUGAAGAACUGUUUAGGAAUUAUACCAGUUAUUGUGAAUGCUGAAAAUGGAAAUUCCUGUCAAACAUACGCUCUGUUAGAUGACGGUGCAGAUAAAACCUUAUGUGAUGAGAGGUUGUUACAGUCUUUGAACGUCACAAGUAAACCUGUUACAUUCAAUAUUUCAACGGUAAACUCAACAAGUAGUACCAUUCACGGACAGGAAAUAGAUCUUACUGUAAUGGCGGUGGACGAAAACAGAAAUGAAGAAGUGACACUUUCCAAGGUGUGGUCAGUGAAGGAGCUUCCAAUCUCAACAAGAUCCGCAGCAGUAAAUGUUGACUUAAAGAAAUUACCCUACUUAUCAGAUAUAGACAUACCCCAAAUUGACACAAACAAUGUUAUGCUACUGAUCGGUACAGAUUCUCCAACUGCACAUAUUCCACUCGAAGUGCGUUCAGGAAACAUUGAUCAACCGUACGCCGUGCGAUCACGGUUAGGAUGGGCAGUACGUGGUCCAGUUCAAGACACUUGUGAGCCUAAUACCGUAAAUGUCCACUUUGAACAAUCCAGAGACGUGUUACUGCAACAGCAACUGGAAAGAAUGUGGAAUACAGAAUUUAAUGAUAGAUCAUUGAAUGAAAAGGACUCUAUGUCUGUUGAAGACAAACAUGCUCUGCAGAUUAUGGAAUCAUCUCUUACCCAUGAAGAUGGUCACUACAAAACUGGAUUACCAUGGAGGAAGGAGAAUGCAUCCUUGCCGAACAACAUAGCUCUUGCCCAAGUACGCCUACAACAACUGAAACGUAAACUGUCACGUGACCCGGAAUUACAUAAAAUGUAUACAACAUCCCUGAAUGAUUAUAUUGAGAACGGAUACGCAGAAGAGGUGAAAGAUGGCCUUGAAAAUAAUUCUAGACGUACAUGGUACUUACCACACCACCCAGUAACAAAUGUGAACAAGCCAGGCAAAGUACGUGUAGUUUUCGAUUGUGCUGCUAAGUACCACGGCAUUUCACUGAACAGCCAAUUACUGCAAGGACCGGACUUAAUGAACAGUUUAGUAGGAGUUCUCAUACGAUUUAGGAAAGAGAAGGUAGCUCUAGCCGCAGAUAUUGAAGCAAUGUUUCACCAGGUGCGUGUUAUGGAAGAAGACUGUGAUGCUUUAAGAUUUCUAUGGUGGCCUGGGGGUGACAUCACACAGCAGCCAAAUUGCUAUCGUAUGAAGGUACAUUUGUUUGGAGCUACAUCAUCACCCAGUUGUGCAGCAUAUGCCUUAAAGCGUACUGCAACCGACAAUGCCCGUUUAUUUGGAAAGGAAGUGGUUUCUACAGUAGAACGAGAUUUUUAUGUCGAUGAUUGUCUGAAGUCUGUAGAAACAGAUGAUAAAGCUAUCAAGCUGGCUACAGAUCUGCAAACACUAAUGAAGUUAGGCGGAUUCCGACUUACGAAGUGGUUAAGUAACAGUAGGGCUGUACUGAACGCUAUCCCAGAAUCUGAACUCGCACCAUCUGUCGUCAAUCUGAGUCUAGACGAAACUUUACCAUGUAAUCGAGCACUUGGUGUGCAAUGGAAUGUUAACGACGACAGAAUCCAGAUUAAAGUCAAGCUGUCUGAUAAGCCACUCACGAGACGCGGCAUUCUGUCAGUUGUAAGUUCAAUAUACGACCCACUGGGACUCGUCUCGCCCGUAACACUUCAAGCUAAAGCUAUAAUACAGAGCCUGUGCAGACUGAAGAUCGGCUGGGAUGACCAGAUACCACAGAGCAUCAACAAUGAAUGGCAUACCUGGUUAUCAACCUUACCUUGUCUGGAGAAUGUGUCUGUAAACCGCUGUUUCCGACUAAGUGACUGUGUUAAAUCUACGGAACUGCAUAUAUUUAGUGAUGGAUCCGAAACCGCCUAUGGAGCCUGUGCUUACCUUCGAUUUGUUGAUACCUAUGACAAUGUAACAUGUUCUCUAGUCAUAGGAAAAUCUCGUUUAGCCCCGAUCAAACAGAUGUCUAUACCACGUCUUGAGUUAUCCGGAGCUGUUGUCGCUUGCCGUAUUUAUGCAAUGUUGUCCGAUGAACUAGAUAUAAAGAUUGAUCAAGUUACCUUCUGGACUGAUUCCAUGAUUGUGUUAGGAGACAUAAAGAACGUAUCAAAACGGUUCAAGACAUUCGUUGGCAAUAGACUCAGCAUUAUACAUAAUACUACCUCACCAGACCUGUGGCGCCAUAUUGACACAAAGUCGAAUCCCGCAGAUAUAGCUUCAAGAGGCAUACAUGCGAAUGACACUAAGAAUCUACAUAUUUGGCUAAAUGGACCAGAUUUCCUAAGAAAAGAUCAUACUCAGUGGCCACAGAAUCAGGUUGCACCGGAAGUAACCGACGAUGAUACAGAAGUGAAGAGAGAAGUCAAGAUAAACAUCACAAUGACUAAUAGAAGUCUAGAUGAUAUCAUUGAUCGCUACUCAAGUUGGACUAAACUUAGAAGAGCAGUCGCGUGGUUACUUAGAUACAAGGUAUUUUGCAGACAGAAAUACUUAAAUCACGAACUUGACAUGGAAAAAGGAAACUUAACAUUAGCGGAAAUCCAGAAAGCAGAACACGAAUUACUGAUACAUGUACAAGAGGAAACAUUCGCACAUGAGAUGAAUAACUUAAAACAAUACAAGCCAGUCAGAACUGAUAGCAGUAUUGCAUCCCUUAACCCCAAAAUAUGUGACAAACUAAUCCGAGUACAAGGACGUAUACGAUCUCAAAACCCCAGUAAAUGUCCCAUUAUACUACCAAGCAAGCACACUAUAACAAAAUUAAUAAUUCGACAUAUUCAUGAGAAUAACGGUCAUGUCGGAAAACAACAGGUACUUGCAAUCUCGCGUGAGAAGUACUGGAUAGUUCGAGGACUGAGUACUGUAAAAGGUGUAGUGAGAAGUUGCUUAGUGUGCAGACGACAACACUCCCCCCUGCUACAACAACAGAUGGCGCCUCUUCUUGAAGAGCAGACGACACCAGAUGAACCCCCUUUCACUUACGUUGGAAUAGAUUACUUUGGUCCACUGAUUGUAAAAGAAGGUCGCACACAUGUGAAAAGAUAUGGCUGUCUUUUUACCUGUCUUUCAACUAGAGCGGUACACCUGGAGGUCUGUCAUAGUUUGACAACUAACUCCUUCGUCGCAGCAUUUCAACGCUUUACCUGUCGCAGAGGAUAUCCAAAGAAGGUGUAUAGUGAUAAUGGCACAAAUCUUGUAGGUGGCGAUCGUCAGCUGCGGCAGUCGAUACAAGAAUGGAACUCUUCAGUAAUAGGGAAAUAUAUGACAGAAAAGGAAAUAGAAUGGCACUUUAACCCGCCUCAAGCGAGUCAUAGAGGAGGAGCCUGGGAAAGGAUGAUUCGUUCCACACGAACAAUUUUAAAAGCGUUGGUCAGGCAACAAUUGCUCACAGAUGAACAAUUAGUUACGCUGAUGACAGAAACUGAAAGAAUCCUGAACGAUAGACCAAUAACCAAGGUUAGCGAUGAUCCUGAAGACAUGUCUGCCCUCACACCAAAUAUGCUACUACUAAUGAAGACUAACAGUAGUAUUCCAAGGGGAAUAUAUAAUAAGAAUGACACAUAUGUAAAACGAUGGUGGAAGCAGGUGCAAUAUCUUUCAAACGUUUUCUGGAGAAGAUGGAUACGAGAAUACUUACCAGCUAUACAACAGAGACAAAAAUGGCAAAGAAAGACCACUGAUUUACGUGUAGGUGAUAUUGUGCUAGUGUUUGACGAAAGUACCCCAAGAGGAAAAUGGCCGUUGGGAAGAAUUGUAAAAACAAACAAAAGCCGUGAUGGACAUGUACGAAGCUGUAUUGUAAAGUAUAAAAAUACACAAACAGUGAAACCAAUUACGAAGUUGUGCCUACUUGAAAGUUCAGCUUAAGCUUAAGAGUACGAAUGAUCUGUGUACGAACAAUGCGGGCAAUUUGUAACUCGAAUUUAUCAGCUGCCGUUUUUACAUGAAGUUACAUAGACACUUUCUCAGAAGUGACGCUUAAUCAUGAAAGAAAUAUACUUGUAAAUAUUCCAAUGAGGAUAAAUUACAGCCUUUAAAUGAAAGUAGUGCGCUUUCAAGUCAAAGGACUGUGCUAGGGUAUUUAUUCGAAAAACAUAAUUAUCAAGACUGUUAAUGAUACUACAUUAAUUUGUAACAUACAUGUUUAUGAUAAAUUUGAAUUCUGUUAUGAAAUCUGGAAAUUUCAUGGCGAGGACUGUUAGAAACGUAUUACAUUUCUAAUUUGAAUUUACGUCUUUACCGCCUUUUCUAACGUGCUUUUACGCGACGUCCAAACAUUGACGUCGACGUCAUCAUUUUCUGUUGUUAUUGUUUUGAACGUCGCUUCCGUUAGCGCAAACAUAUAUUUCAAUUCAGGAACUUGAUGUAAAACUUGGUAAAGAUCAAAAAUCGAGAAUCGCUACGCUACGCUACGCUAGAGAAUAAAAUUGUAAAGUGAAUCAGCGCAUACUCGUUUUUUACUGUGGUAUCCAAGUUCCCGAACAAUUCUCGAUUUA